UAGAAAUGGUUUACAGUCUUCGAAAAAGUCCGUUAGCAUCUCAACUGUUUUCAGACGAGGAGUGAUUAUAUAAUCUUCCUACAACAGAAGAGAAGCUCCAAGAUUUCAAAAUUUCUGAAGGGAGCUGCUGACAGAAAUGCAGGAAACACAGGAUCCUAUGUACCCAACCUCAACCAUUCAUCAGAAGGACUGUGAAAGCGGGAACUCUUUGAACCACCAGUAGCAGUUUCCAUGAAAAAGGGCAUAGUAGUGGAUGAUGGGGGUACUGACAUUAAACUGCCGUAUUCACUGUAUUACACACUAGGGAUGGGCAUUUUUGUUAAUUUUUCAUUUCAAGUACUGAUAGGUCUUUAUUUUGAUGGUCUGGAUGGCAUGCUGUCCUAACACUAACUAGUCAGAGCUCAGGUACCACCCAAAAUGCUGCCAUAACGAAUCAGAAAAAGAGAAAAAUGUAAAGUCACGGUGAUCAUCGAGUACUCUGACUUGACAGAGAUGAUUGAUCAUGAAAACAAUGAUUGCAGUGACU